rnacentral:rRNA from 1 species
GAGGGGCAGCGGGGUUGUAGCAAUACAACUGCCGGCGACCGGCGCACGGGUGAGUAACACGUAUGUAACCUGCCCUCUGCAGGGGGAUAAGCGGAAGAAAUUCCGUCUAAUACCGCAUAAUACAAUUUGGAGACAUCUCCGGGUUGUCAAAGGAGUGAUCCGGCAGAGGAUGGACAUGCGGCGCAUUAGCUAGUCGGCGGGGUAACGGCCCACCGAGGCUACGAUGCGUAGGGGUUCUGAGAGGAAGGUCCCCCACACUGGUACUGAGACACGGACCAGACUCCUACGGGAGGCAGCAGUGAGGAAUAUUGGUCAAUGGGCGGAAGCCUGAACCAGCCAAGUCGCGUGAGGGAAGACGGUCCUAUGGAUUGUAAACCUCUUUUGCAGGGGAGCAAGGCGCGGUACGUGUACCGCGAAGGAGAGUACCCUGAGAAAAAGCAUCGGCUAACUCCGUGCCAGCAGCCGCGGUAAUACGGAGGAUGCGAGCGUUAUCCGGAUUUAUUGGGUUUAAAGGGUGCGCAGGCGGACUGUUAAGUCAGCGGUAAAAUGUCGGUGCUCAACACCGGCCGGCCGUUGAAACUGGCAGCCUUGAGUGAGCGAGAAGUAUGCGGAAUGCGUGGUGAAGCGGUGAAAUGCAUAGAUCUCUGAGAAAACUCCGAUUGCGAAGGCAGCAUACCGGCGCUCAACUGACGCUCAGGCACGAAAGCGUGGGUAUCGAACAGGUUUAGAUACCCUGGUAGUCCACGCAGUAAACGAUGAAUGCUCACUGUCCGGGCCGUUUAAGGCCUGGGUGGUCAAGCGAAAGCGUUAAGCAUUCCACCUGGGGAGUACGCCGGCAACGGUGAAACUCAAAGGAAUUGACGGGGGCCCGCACAAGCGGAGGAACAUGUGGUUUAAUUCGAUGAUACGCGAGGAACCUUACCCGGGCUCAAACGGAAGGGGACAGUAUGAGAAAUCAUACAUUCCUUCGGGACCGCUUCCGAGGUGCUGCAUGGUUGUCGUCAGCUCGUGCCGUGAGGUGUCGGCUUAAGUGCCAUAACGAGCGCAACCCCUAUCGACAGUUGCUAGCAGGUAAAGCUGAGGACUCUGUCGAGACUGCCGGCGCAAGCUGUGAGGAAGGCGGGGAUGACGUCAAAUCAGCACGGCCCUUACGUCCGGGGCGACACACGUGUUACAAUGGCAGGUACAGCGGGAGGCCACCCGGCGACGGGGCGCAGAACCCGAAAACCUGUCUCAGUUCGGAUUGGAGUCUGCAACCCGACUCCAUGAAGCUGGAUUCGCUAGUAAUCGCGCAUCAGCCAC